AGAUUGAACGCUGGCGGCAGGCCUAACACAUGCAAGUCGAACGGUAACAGGAAGCAGCUUGCUGCUUCGCUGACGAGUGGCGGACGGGUGAGUAAUGUCUGGGAAACUGCCUGAUGGAGGGGGAUAACUACUGGAAACGGUAGCUAAUACCGCAUAACGUCGCAAGACCAAAGAGGGGGACCUUCGGGCCUCUUGCCAUCGGAUGUGCCCAGAUGGGAUUAGCUAGUAGGUGGGGUAACGGCUCACCUAGGCGACGAUCCCUAGCUGGUCUGAGAGGAUGACCAGCCACA
rnacentral:rRNA from 1 species